CAGGCCUAACACAUGCAAGUCGAACGGCAGCAUGCAGUUUCUUCGGAAACUGUGAUGGCGAGUGGCGGACGGGUGAGUAACGCGUAGGAAUCUGCCCUAAAGUGGGGGACAACCUGGGGAAACUCGGGCUAAUACCGCAUAAUCUUUUAGGAGCAAAGCUGGGGACCUUUCGGGGCCUGGCGCUUUAGGAUGAGCCUGCGUCGGAUUAGCAUGUUGGUGGGGUAAUGGCCUACCAAGGCGACGAUCCGUAGCUGGUCUGAGAGGAUGAUCAGCCACACUGGGACUGAGACACGGCCCAGACUCCUACGGGAGGCAGCAGUGGGGAAUAUUGGACAAUGGGCGAAAGCCUGAUCCAGCAAUGCCGCGUGUGUGAAGAAGGCCUUAGGGUUGUAAAGCACUUUCAGUAACGAAGAAAGCUAGACAGUUAAGAGCUAUUUAGCUUGACGUUAAUUACAGAAGAAGCACCGGCUAACUCUGUGCCAGCAGCCGCGGUAAUACAGAGGGUGCUAGCGUUAAUCGGAAUUACUGGGCGUAAAGCGCACGUAGGUGGAUGCUUAAGUCAGAUGUGAAAGCCCUGGGCUUAACCUGGGAACUGCAUUUGAUACUGGGCAUCUAGAGUAUGGUAGAGGGAAGUGGAAUUUCCGGUGUA
rnacentral:rRNA from 1 species